CACGGGUGCGUAACGCGUGGGAACCUGCCCUUUGGUUCGGAAUAACUCAGGGAAACUUGAGCUAAUACCGGAUGAUGACUUCGGUCCAAAGAUUUAUCGCCGAGGGAUGGGCCCGCGUAGGAUUAGCUAGUUGGUGGGGUAAUGGCCUACCAAGGCGACGAUCCUUAGCUGGUCUGAGAGGAUGAUCAGCCACACUGGGACUGAGACACGGCCCAGACUCCUACGGGAGGCAGCAGUGGGGAAUAUUGGACAAUGGGCGCAAGCCUGAUCCAGCAAUGCCGCGUGAGUGAUGAAGGCCUUCGGGUUGUAAAGCUCUUUUACCCGGGAUGAUAAUGACAGUACCGGGAGAAUAAGCUCCGGCUAACUCCGUGCCAGCAGCCGCGGUAAU
rnacentral:rRNA from 1 species